UAUUAUAUUGAUAUUGACAGCAAUUAGGUGAUUAAUUGAAGAAUUUGACUUGAAAGGAUGAACUGCUCCAACAUUGGUUUGUAAUUUUCUUUACUAUAUGCAGUUCAAUUUUGUGGUCUGGCAAAUGACCAACAGCCGUUCAUCUAGUACACAUACCUUUCUACAGCUGGAUUUUCAAAUAUGAUUAUAAAGUUCAUAUGACAGAAGUGUCCUGAAAAUAAAUAUGUCAGCACGCUUUUCUUUAUUUUAUGCAUUUAUUCUGGAUGUAACAUAACUUGAUACAAACACAGAUGACAUUCUAAGACAUUUUGCCAGACCUGUUCAAGUACAGCUUCGUUUGAGAUGGUGGAAGGUGAUUUAGAAACACCUGGGUUGAGUAUUUCUAUCCAUGCCUUAAAUCCUAAAAGCCUUGCAGUUUUUAUAGUCCUUUCGGGGAAAGACAGGAACUACAUUAACACUUGUUAGUAUAACAGUUAAUGUACUUCUGAGAAAGACUUUGUAAAAAUUUGAAAAUUAUGCAAAAAAAUUAAAGGGAAGAUUU
rnacentral:lncRNA from 1 species